GAUGAACGCUAGCUACAGGCUUAACACAUGCAAGUCGAGGGGUAACAAGAGAAAUGCUUGCUUUUCUUGUUGACGACCGGCGCACGGGUGAGUAACGCGUAUCCAACCUGCCUAUAACUAGGGAAUAACCUUGCGAAAGUAAGACUAAUACCCUAUGAUUUCCUUUGAUGACAUCAGAUUAGGAAUAAAGAUUUAUCGGUUAUAGAUGGGGAUGCGUCUGAUUAGCUUGUUGGCGGGGUAACGGCCAACCAAUACAACGAUCAGUAGGGGUUCUUGGAGGAAGUGCCCCCACGUUGUAACAAGGACACGUGCCAAACUCGUACGGAGGGCAGCAGUGAGGAAUAUUGGUCAAUGGGCGUAAUCCUGAACCAGCCAAGGAGCGUGCAGGAUGACGGCCCUAUGGGUUGUAAACUACUUUUAUACAGGAAUAAAGUUAGCCACUUGUGUUAUUUGUAGGUACUGUAUGAAUAAGGACUGGCUAAUUCCGUGCCAGCAGCCGCCGUAA
rnacentral:rRNA from 1 species